rnacentral:snRNA from 1 species
AGCUUUGCACAGUGGCGGUAUCAUAGCCAAUGAGGUUUAUCUGAGGCACGAUUAUUGCUAAUUGAAAACCUUAUACAAUUACAAUGUAUUACAAAUCCAUUGCCCCUUAUUUGAAAUCUUGGAUAAG